UUCAGUCUAAUAUCCAACCUUUCUGACCGACAAGCUGUCUUCAUCAGCGUAUACUGUUAGGAGCACCUUAACACAGAUGGAUCUAUUAAUCUCUGACCGUACCUCAUUGAAAAGGUGCCACUCUGCCUAGUGACUGUAAACUAAACAAAAAUACUAACGUGGACACCCUGACCCUGGAGCUUGUGGCAGAGCGCAGCAUGGCCCAGAAGAGUGAGAAUGCGCGCCAGCAGCUGGAGAGGCAGAACAAGGACUUGCGAGCCAAGCUGGGCGAGCUGGAGGGUUCCGGGAGCCCCCCCCACACACACACAAACAGUUGUGUAUAUUGGCCAAAUUGAUGGUUCUCGUUACUAAUACCUCUCCUGGCCCCCUCUGUCCCCUGCAGGCGUGGAGGCCCCAUCAGUUUCUCCUCCAGCCGCUCGGGCAGGCGUCAGCUGCAGGUGGAGGGGACAUCGCUCGACCUCCUAUCCGACGAUGAGGUGGAAAACAAGACCACGGACGCCAAUGCCAACGAGACGCCAGCAGCUCCCCAACCAGGGUAGACGCGCUCCCUACAGCCCACACGCAGCAUGGCCUCCGCCCCCACAAACCUUACCCCUGUCCUCCUAACCCCAGACACCAGCAGUGGACCCCACUACUCUGCCUUACCCCUCUAUGGCAAGCUGCAGGGCCAAGCAAAUCCAUCACCUCCUCCAUAUGAAUAUACCGCACAUCAAGCCUUGGAUUCGUUUUUAACAUCAAUUGCAGAUAAUAGUGCAUUUUUAUUGCAUAGGCGUCUGAGUGUGCAUAGGCACUCGAAAACAAAUAGCAGGAGUUUACCAUAAUUAUGUUAAGCUACUUCCCUGGAACAGCCAUUAGAAUCAAACAGCCCUCUAGCUAGAAUUAACCACUGUCAUUUCAGCUGGUUUACUGGCACACAGGUGGACGACUGCACACAAGUCGGUAAAAACAUGUGUCUUUCAUGAUUGUACAGUAUUGGACCAGGAUAUGUAAAACAAAGCACAACAUAAGCGAGGGAAUUAUUUUUAAAUGGUAGCCUAAAUGACGAUCACACCAAAUUUUUUUCAUCAAAGCCACCACUGUCAUAGAGAUACUGCAAUCCACUUAGUUUAGUAUAAAAAUAACUAUGUGACUAACUCUUUGGUAGCAGGUUUGUAGUGAAUUAGAUUGUACCACGCCAUGUUGCCUCAGCAUUCCCCCUAUAUAUAUGACCAGCAAAAGACCCUGUUAACUUUACCAAUAUAACCUUGUCCAAUAACCCACCAUUUUAUAUUUGACAUAUCAAUCUACUUUAAGUGGUGUACGAUAAUGUGUGGAAUUAGGUUUGUCAGACUUGGAGCAAAGGCCCUUUUUUUUAGAAAGACAGCCCAAAUGUGUGCUUGACAUACUAUAAUAUUGCUAUGUAUAAUUCUGGCUAUUCAGUUAUGUUUUCUGUACCAUGUACAAAAUACUUAACUCAAAAAGGUCUCUUUGACAUCUCGUGUCACCUUAAUUUCAAUGCAUUUCAAAUGGCUGAAUAAUAUUAGCAUGAUUUACAGAAGGGUAAUUCAUGUUUUAUUGAAGUUUUAUUGAGUGUUAGAGCGUUGGUUUUAAUUCAGUGGUUCAGGGUAGAGCAAUCAUUCAAUUUGAAUAUGCACACUUGUUGAUGCCUUGAUUAUUAAAUGUUAAACAUAAAUGACCAUUUUGUAAAUGACUAAUUACAUAUUUGAGGCCUUUAUUAUUAUUUUAAGCCAGAACAAAUUGGGGGAAAAAAAGGUUUAUCUGUUUCUUUUGAAAGACACUUCUCAAUAAAGACAUGAGGGGGAAAAAAGUGUAUAGUGUUUGAACCAGUUUCAUAGCUUUAGUGUCAUAUUAUACCAUAAGCACCUCUCCCAUCGUGUUGGUGUGAACCAGUGUUAUAACAGAAUGAUUUAUGGAGCCUUCUGUCUGCCAGGCAGAAAGUAGAAUUUCAUUGGGUUCAAAGCUUUAACAUCCUGAAGGUUGUUAUUAUUAGUGGACUGGCUGUUGACGACCAGGUAUUCAUUAUCUCCUUUUAUUUCUUGUAUUUCUAGACUUUUUUUGUUGUUGUUGUAAAAGACCAAUAAACAUAUCCAUUAUAGAAAAA